UACGGAGGAGGCAAGCGUUAUCCGGAUUUAUUGGGCGUAAAGCGUCCGCAGGUGGUUACACAAGUCUGCUGUCAAAGCGCGGAGCUUAACUCCGUAAAGGCAGUGGAAACUGUGUGACUUGAGUGUGAUAGGGGCAGAGGGAAUUCCCAGUGUAGCGGUGAAAUGCGUAGAGAUUGGGAAGAACACCGGUGGCGAAAGCGCUCUGCUGGGUCACUUACUGACACUGAGGGACGAAAGCUAGGGGAGCGAAAGGG
rnacentral:rRNA from 1 species